AACGAACGCUGGCGGCGUGCCUAACACAUGCAAGUCGAACGUGAAAUGGGGCAACCCAAAGUAAAGUGGCGUACGGGUGAGUAACACGUAGGUAAUCUACCGAAGAGUCUGGAAUAACCUGCCGAAAGGCGGGCUAAUACUGGAUAGAGCGACGGGACUCGUAAUGAGUCUUUCGGGAAAUGGAGGCAGCAAUGUCACUUGCUCUUCGAUGAGCCUGCGUCUCAGUAGCUAGUUGGUGGGGUAACGGCCCACCAAGGCAUUGAUGAGUAGCUGGUCUGAGAGGAUGAUCAGCCACACUGGAACUGAAACACGGUCCAGACUCCUACGGGAGGCAGCAGUGGGGAAUCUUGCGCAAUGGACGAAAGUCUGACGCAGCCACGCCGCGUGAGUGAAGAAGGCCUUCGGGUUGUAAAGCUCUGUCGGAAGGGACGAACAUCAUCCGGGUUCAUAGCCCGGGUGACUGACGGUACCUUCAAAGGAAGCACCGGCUAACUCUGUGCCAGCCGCCGCGGUAAAAC
rnacentral:rRNA from 1 species